CUCAUUAAAUCAGUUAUAGUUUAUUUGAUGGUCUCUUUGUCUUUUUUUUACCUACUUGGAUAACCGUGGUAAUUCUAGAGCUAAUACAUGCGCAAGGUCCCGAGCGCGGAGAGUGGGGACUUCACGGUUCUAUUCUCGCAUGCGCAGAGGGAUGUAUUUAUUAGGUUAAACAACCAGCAUUUUUAACAAUCAUCUGGUGAUUCAUAGUAACUCUUUCGGAUCGCAUUCAUG
rnacentral:rRNA from 1 species